rnacentral:rRNA from 1 species
AAUUUUGGACAAUGGUCGCAAGCCAGAUCCAGCCAUGCCGCGUUAGUGCAGAAGGCCUUCGGGUUGUAAAGCUCUUUCGGACGGAAAGAAAUCGCGCAGGCUAAUACCCUGCGCGGCUCACGGUACCGUCAUAAGAAGCACCCGCUCACUACGUUCCAGCCGCCGCGGUAAUACGUAUGGUGCGAGCGUUAAUCGGAAUUACUGGGCGUAAAGCGUGCGCAGGCGGGUGAUUAAGACAGGCGUGAAAUCCCCGGGCUUAACCUGGGAACUGCGCUUGUGACUGGUCAGCUAGAGUACGGCAGAGGGGGGUGGAAUGCCACGUGUAGCAGUGAAAUGCGUAGAGAUGUGGAGGAACACCGAUGGCGAAGGCAGCCCCCUGGGCCGAUACUGACGCUCAUGCACGAAAGCGUGGGUAGCAAACAGG